rnacentral:lncRNA from 1 species
ACUCAUCUGAGAGAGUCCCACAGUCCCCGAAGGCAGGAGUGAGCUUAGCCAGCAUCUCUGAAGGCCCCAAGAGAGCAAGAGAGGCCAUGCUGAGCAGGGGGGCUGAAGCCCGGGGCUCAGCAGGCCUCUGAGCCAUCUUUGUAAACAUUUGCCCUCACCGGCCUCCCCCAAGAACGUCACCUCCUUCACCUUUCCCGCUCCCCCUAAUCUGCCUCCUUCUCCCCUUUUCCCAUCAGGGAUGGUAAGCUCACAGGUCACAAAGGGAAGGGGAGAGCCCAGUCUUUUUUGACUUGAGGUCCUGGUCCUCUCUGGCAAGGACCUCCCGGGAGAGAGCCACGAGGCUUUGAUCUCAGUUAUUUGCCUUGGGCUAAAAGACCUCUGGUUGGCCACUCCUCCAGGAUCCUAAUAAGGCCAGGACCUGGGAUCACAGAUGCAAACCUUUUUUUUUUUUUUUUUUUUUUUUUUUUAACUGAAGGGAACACUGAGGUGCCGUGAUUCAAGCUAUAGCGUUGCUAGGAGAGGGUAGGUUAAGGUUUGGCAGACUGAGAUAGAACAGUUCAUUGAUCCACCCCUCCAAAAGGUAUUUAUUGAGCUUCUAUGAUGUGCCUGUGAUAAGUGAUGUCACUGAGUUUGUGAUGGCUAGGAGGGUAAUCCUAGAGAUGGCCAUAAGUCCUCUAUGGUCCAGGAGUUUCUGUUAGGAGUGAAAGCAGGGUGGGCAGUUGAGACCUUUCUUAUUCUGGUUUGCCCUACCCCCAUUCUGUUCUAACUACUCUUUAUUAUCCCUUAUAACAAACAUGCAGAUUAACCAAGCAAGCACCUAGCUCCAGGUCUGAAACCAAAAAAGAGAAUAAAAAGGAGGAAACCUACAAGUCUCUUACAGGGCGGAGGGCCCAUCUGCUCUGUUUACACACCUGGACCUGGUGUGAAGGGCGGUUUAGAGGAGGUGGCUCCCUGGCCAUUUGUAUGCUACAGGCAGGCCUUCAAAGAAAUACCAGAAGCCAAGUGUACUAUCUGUCAUCACUUAGUAAUGCUUGAAGCUUGUCAUAUAACAAAAGGGGAAGAAACGACCCUAGCUUGCAUUGUGGGAGCCCGAUGAUUCUUCCAUCAGCUCCACACCGAAAGGGCUUUCUCUUAACUGUAAGUAUGAGAUCUGACUAAUAUGGGCAGCCAAUGCCUUUGGUAAGUAAAAUUGGAAUAAAAUAAUGGUUUGCAACUUUAUUACA